GAACUUUCCAAGUGCAAGAAAAGGAAAGUCAAACUCAGCAAGCAGAGAGAUGGAAAGCAACAAAUUAGAUGGUUCGAUAGUAAAGGUUCUGAGGCACCAAGUGCGGCAACCAGCUUAGGAA